UUGAAGAAGCUCUGUGUGCAUAUUAACAAUAACCAACCAUCAUCAACUCAAACCACACAAGAGUUACCAAGUGAAGCACAUGCAACGACUAUAGAAUCCACACAAUCAGAAGACUUACCAUCUCAUGCAACAGCUACCCAAAUCGUCAAAGGAAAGUCCAUCAC